AAGUCGUAACAAGGUCUCCGUAGGUGAACCUGCGGAGGGAUCAUUACCGAAUUCGCCCGCGAGGGCAGAGUUCCCGCCCGUGUAAACAUACCUUUGUUGCUUUGGCAGGCCGCCGGGGCUCGCCCCGCUGCCGGCUCACGCUGGCAAGCGCCUGCCAGAGGACCCCAAAAUCUGAUAUUUAGUGUUGUCUGAGUAUUAUAUAAUAAGUUAAAA
rnacentral:misc_RNA from 1 species